ACAUGCCUACAACAUAGCGUUAAUGCACCAGAUCCCAUUAGAACUCCACAGUUAAGCGCGCUCGGACUAGAGUAGUACUGGGAUGGUUGACCGCUCGAGAAGUUCUAGUAUUUUACAUGCC
rfam:Picea glauca, whole genome shotgun sequence.